rnacentral:rRNA from 1 species
GUACACUCCUACGGGAGGCAGCAGUGGGGAAUAUUGGACAAUGGGCGCAAGCCUGAUCCAGCCAUGCCGCGUGAGUGAUGAAGGCCCUAGGGUUGUAAAGCUCUUUCACCGGUGAAGAUAAUGACGGUAACCGGAGAAGAAGCCCCGGCUAACUUCGUGCCAGCAGCCGCGGUAAUACGAAGGGGGCUAGCGUUGUUCGGAUUUACUGGGCGUAAAGCGCACGUAGGCGGACUAUUAAGUCAGGGGUGAAAUCCCGGGGCUCAACCCCGGAACUGCCUUUGAUACUGGUAGUCUUGAGUUCGAGAGAGGUGAGUGGAAUUCCGAGUGUAGAGGUGAAAUUCGUAGAUAUUCGGAGGAACACCAGUGGCGAAGGCGGCUCACUGGCUCGAUACUGACGCUGAGGUGCGAAAGCGUGGGGAGCAAACAGGAUUAGAUACCCUAGUAGUCCCAU